CCUACGGGUGGCAGCAGUAGGGAAUAUUGCUCAAUGGGGGAAACCCUGAAGCAGCAACGCCGCGUGGAGGAUGAAGGUUUUCGGAUUGUAAACUCCUGUUGUGAGAGAAGAUACUGACGGUAUCUCACGAAUAAGCACCGGCUAACUCCGUUCCAGCAGCCGCGGGAAUAAGGAGGGUGCAAGCGGUAGUCGGAAACACUGGGCGGAAAGAGUGCGGAGGCGGGGUUGUAAGUCAGAUGGGAAAUCCUGUGGGUUAACUAUAGAAAUGCAUUUGAAACUAUGAGUCUUGAGUGUGGGAGAGGUAAGUGGAAUUCUUGGUGUAGGGGUAAAAUCCGUAAAUAUCAAGAGGAAUACUCGUGGCGAAGGCGACUUACUGGGACUUUACUGACGCUGAUGCACGAAAGCGUGGGGAGCAAACAGGAUUAGAUACCCUUGUAGUC
rnacentral:rRNA from 1 species